rnacentral:rRNA from 1 species
AUAAAUUAAAGUAAAUAAUAAAGGGCGUAUGGUGGAUGCCUAGGCUCUCAGAGGCGAUGAAGGACGUGAUAAGCUGCGAAAAGCUCCGUUUAGGUGCAAAUAACCUUUGAUGCGGAGAUCUCCGAAUGGGAUAACCCAAUAUGUUGAAGACAUAUUAUACCGUAAGGUAGGCAAACGCAGGGAACUGAAACAUCUAAGUACCUGCAGGAGAAGAAAACAAANNNNNNNNNNAGUACCUGCAGGAGAAGAAAACAAACGUGAUUCCCCCAGUAGCGGCGAGCGACCGGGGAUAAGCCCAAACCGUUAUUGUUUCGGCAGUAGCGGGGUAGUAGGACUGCGACAUUGAUGAAAUAAAUGAAAUGGAACACCUUGGAAAAUGUGAUCACAGAGGGUGAUAAUCCCGUACAUGUAAGUUUAUGAAUCAUAGCAGACUCCUGAGUAAGUCGGGACACGUGUAAUCCUGACCGAAUCCGCCGGGACCAUCCGGCAAG